UCCUGCUGCCCUUGUCUGCUCUCACGGCUCUGACCCAGUUUCUGUCCCCUGACCACAGCAACCUGCUCAGUCAUCGGGUUAAUAACACUGAGAACCUGUGGGGCGCUUUCCAGCCAUUACCCCAGCUACACUCUGAGCAACCGGAACUCAGCUACCUGAUUUUAUGGAUUCUGAGGAGAGGUUCCUGGGUCUGAUGGUGGUGGUUUCCUGUACGACGACUUCCAGAGCUUUCACGGAGAUUACAUUCACCGGCUCCUUCUCAGUCUGCUCCUAAUCAGACUUCACCCACUUCACCUGCCCCUCUGGCUUUAUAAGCAGCACUCCAGACUCCAGACAAUCAGCACCAGAUUUACGAAAGCCUUUGUAUGAGUAGUGUCCAGCGUUCCUUACUGUGGUCUUAACGACAUUACGGUUAAGAACCGUUACCCACUUCCCCUAAUGAACUCCGCCUUCGACCUGAUUCAGGGAGCUAAAUAUUUUACCAAGCUUGGUCUCCGCAAUGCUUAUCAUCUAGAAUAUUUGGUCAUGCCAUUCGGGCUGACCAAUGCCCCAGCCGUGUUUCAGGCGUUGGUCAAUGAUGUCCUCAGAGACAUGGUGGUACGUGUUACAUAUGUUUACCUCGACGACAUUCUGAUCUUCUCACAAACCCUUGAGUCCCACAAACUCCGUGUCCAGUCUGUCCGCCUGCUCCAAAACUUUGUUAAGGCGGAGAAUUUCACACGUCUUCAACCUCCUUUCUGGGUUUUGUCAUUUCUCCUGAUCAAGUCACUAUGGUCCCCUCUAAAACCACAGCAGUGGCAGAGUGGCUUGCUCCAUCUGACCGUAAGCAGCUCCAGAGGUUUCUGGGCUUCGCCAACUUUUACUGCCAGUUUAUCCAAAAUUAUAGCUAGGUGGCAUCUCCCCUCCAUGCUAUCACCUCAUCUAAAUUACGGUUUGUGUGGAACGAUCAGGCUGAGAAAGCCUUCACUAAACUAAAGUCUAUGUUUACUACUGCUCCUGUUCUCCACACCCCUGACUCUGAGAAGCAGUUCAUCGUGGAGAUUGAAGCCUCUAACACUGGGGUGAAAGAUCCACUGAUGGCUGUGUUCACCCUUGUGCUUUUUUCUCCAAGACCCUCUUCACAGCUAAACGUAACUGUGAUCUUGGAGAUCGAGAACUUCUUGCAGUCAAGCUCGCCUUGGAGGAGUGGAGAAACUGGUUAGAGGGAGCUAAGGAACCAUUCAUUGUUUGGACUGAUCAUAGGAACUUAGAAUACCUUAAAUCUGUUAAAAGACUCAACCCAUGACAAGCCAGUUGGUCACUAUAUUUUGGACAUUUUAACUUCUCCUUGUCUUACAGAUCCCGAAACAAGAAUGUAAAACCUGAUGCUCUCUCCAGAAUUUGUGAAAAGUCCGAGGCCAAGACCAAUGGUGUGGAGGAUUUUUGUCCUUCCGGAAGACAUAAGACUUUCCGUCACCAUGCUAGAUCUUAAGAAAGAUAUCAGGGACGCCACCCAGGAUCUUCCGCCCCCGGAUGCAUGCCCUGGAGAUCACUUGUUCGUGCCGGACCAUCUUGUCCAGAAGGUACUGAUGUUCUGCCAUAAAUCAUGCCUUUUUUGUCACCCUGGAAUCAAUAAGACGCUACAGGUAGUGCAGUCUCAGUUUUGGUGGCGUUCCAUGACCAAAGAUGUCAAAGAGUUCAUCUCAUCCUGUCAUCAGUGCAAUAAAGCACAGUCCUCAAGACGCCCACCCUCUGGGUUUCUGCAACGUCUAUCCAUUCCGUCACACCCUUGGUCUCACCUCGCCAUGGACUUCGUCACAGGUUUGCCUCCAUCUAGUGGUUAUACUGUCAUCCUCACUGUCAUUGACAGAUUCUCAAAGAUGGUCCACCUGGUUCCUCUGCAGAAGCUUCCCUCAGGUAAAGAGAUGGGGGAAAUUUUGGCAUGUGAGGUCUUCCGCCUCCAUGGUCUCCCCACUGGUAAUGUCUCCGACAGAGGUCCUCAGUUCCUUUCUCGUUAUUGGAAGCAGUUCUGCUCUAUGUUCUAUCUAACCAAGAGGCUGAGACCAAGCUAUGUUGAUGAUCCCACCAAUUGGUCACACAACUUACCAUGGGUGGAGCAUGCCAUCAACUCCCUUCUUAAUAUUUAUUGCAUCUCCAGCAGUUUUUGACGAAAUUCAUAUGCAGUAAUAUUACAUGCUGUAAGAUAAUGUGAACAAAAUAAAUGCUAAAUAUUGCGCAGCCCUAUUUCAAACAUUGUGAAAUGUUACGGGAGAAGACUAAGUGAUGCCCUAUUGGCAAAAGGGGGUUGUAAAAGUAUUACCUUGGGACUUUUUCCCACCAAAUAAAUGUCAAAUAAAGGUUAAUUUUCAACAAA